CGCUAUGAUCAUUGCUUAGAAGGGAAGGGGGGGCAUCUAAAAGGUCGAGAGACAGAGUAGCGAAGUGGAGAAGAGUUCGUUCGACCUCGUCCCUCGCUCGUCGAUCCAUCGAUUCGCGAUUUCACUAUUUAGUGAUCGAUCGAUCGGUCCGUCUCCUUCGCUUUGGAUCACGUGUUCGACGAGACUUGCACGAACUUGAGCGUUUAUGAGCGUCACACGAAGGAUGUCAUCCAAGCGGCAGUCAAGGGAUUCAAUGGUACCCCUUCAAAUUAGUUUUUGUUCUUUUAGUAAGGAUUGGACGAUUCUGAGGUAGAUAUAUGCAUUUAUUGCUCUUAUUGCAUAUCAUAUAGCUGUUUGUUACCUGUGCAUCUACAUCCUACUUUUGCAGGAUAGUUUGCCUUUAAAUUGGUUAAUAUACAUGAAAAAUUAAUUUGCUGAAAUCCUCUGAGGCAGUAUGUUGACAAAUAAUUUGGAACUGGACUGCUAAAGAUAAACCCUGUACAUGAUCAUAAUGAUUAUGUUCUUGUAAGAAAACUGGGCAUCCCAAUACUUAAUGUCAUUAAAAAGGAUGGAAUUGAUCUUACGGAUGCCUGAGUCUCCUACUUUGUUAUUUCAGUGGACUUGAUCUGUUUGAAGCUUUCAACAAAUUGUGGGCAGAUCUCGAAGAGGCUGGUCUUGCUGUGAAGAAGGAAUCUUCUACAUCAAGACUACCAAGAUCACAGUGUGGUGGGGAGGUCAUAGAGCCACUCGUCGGUAAGCAGUGGUUUGUAGUCAUGGGGCCUUAGUGCACUGGAAAAGGGGGAUAUAUCUAUCAUUCCUGAGAGGUUUGAAAAGGACAAUACUCAAGAUGGCAUUGACUGGAUGAGGGUUGGUUUGAAGAUAAUGAAGAUUG